CGUCCAUAUUGUAAGACGAAAAGUCCCCAUUGAGCUUUACUAAAGACUUAUAUGGCUCGAAUAACUUAAAUAAAAAGUUUAGAUAAUGUGGGAUCUGUUUUUGGUUAAUGAGACACCACUCUUUUAUUUUAAGAGAACUAACCUUAUAGGGAGAAUGUAAGUUAGAUA
rnacentral:rRNA from 1 species